rnacentral:rRNA from 1 species
AGGAUGAACGCUGGCGGUCUGCUUAACACAUGCAAGUCGAACGGAGUACCUCGGUACUUAGUGGCGGACGGGUGAGUAACGCGUGAGAAUCUGCCCUUAGGUCGGGGACAACCAUUGGAAACGAUGGCUAAUACCGGAUAAGCCGAGAGGUAAAAGAUUAAUUGCCUAGGGAAGAGCUCGCGUCUGAUUAGCUAGUUGGUGAGGUAAAGGCUCACCAAGGCAUCGAUCAGUAGCUGGUCUGAGAGGAUGAUCAGCCACACUGGGACUGAGACACGGCCCAGACUCCUACGGGAGGCAGCAGUGGGGAAUUUUCCGCAAUGGGCGAAAGCCUGACGGAGCAAGACCGCGUGGAGGGAGGAAGGCUCUUGGGUUGUAAACCUCUUUUCUUGGGGAAGAACAAAAUGACGGUACCCAAGGAAUCAGCAUCGGCCAACUCCGCGCCAGCAGCCGC